AUGCCACUCCGGCAUCGGGCGCAUCGGCCCGAAGAUCGAUUCCGAUUUUCGGGCCGAUGCGGUAGACC
rnacentral:sRNA from 1 species